rnacentral:rRNA from 1 species
UCUGGUGCCAGCAGCCGCGGUAAUGCCAGCUCCAAUAGCGUAUAUUAAAGUUGUUGCAGUUAAAAAGCUCGUAGUUGGAUUUGUGGUUUACGCAAGGCUUCCGUCCCUCUUGGGUUUCGGUGUUGCCUGGCGUUGCCAUCCUUGGGUGGAAUCUGUGUGGCAUUAGGUUGUCGUGCAGGGGAUGCCCAUCGUUUACUGUGAAAAAAUUAGAGUGUUCAAAGCAGGCUUAUGCCGUUGAAUAUGUUAGCAUGGAAUAAUAAUAUAGGACCUUGGUACUAUUUUGUUGGUUUGCGCACCGAGGUAAUGAUUAACAGGGUCAACUGGGGAUAUUCGUAUUCCGCUGUCAGAGGUGAAAUUCUUGGAUUUUUGGAAGACGAACUACUGCGAAAGCAUUUAUCAAGGAUGUUUUCAUUAAUCAAGAACGAAAGUUAGGGGAUCGAAGAUGAUUAGAUACCAUCGUAGUCUUAACCAUAAACUAUGCCGACAAGGGAUUGGUGGAGUAUCGUUACGUCUCCAUCAGCACCUUAUGAGAAAUCAAAAGUCUUUGGGUUCCGGGGGGAGUAUGGUCGCAAGGCUGAAACUUAAAGAAAUUGACAGAAGGGCACCACCAGGAGUGGAGCCUGCGGCUUAAUUUGACGCAACACGGGAAAACUUACCAGGUCCAGACAUAGUGAGGAUUGACAGAUUGAGAGCUCUUUCUUGAUUCUAUGGGUGGUGGUGCAUGGCCGUUCUUAGUUGGUGGAGUGAUUUGUCUGGUUAAUUCCGUUAACGAACGAGACCCCUGCCUGCUAAAUAGCCCAGUGAGUGAUUUUUCACUGACUGUUGGCUUCUUAGAGGGACGUGCAUUCUAUUAGAUGCAGGAAGAUAGGGGCAAUAACAGGUCUGUGAUGCCCUUAGAUGUCCUGGGCCGCACGCGCGCUACACUGAUGAAUUCAACGAGUUUUUUCCUUGGCCGAGAGGCCUGGGCAAUCUUUUGAACGUUCAUCGAGAUAGGGAUAGAUUAUUGCAAUUAUUAAUCUUGAACGAGGAAUUCCUAGUAAACGCAGAUCAUCAAUCUGCAUUGAUUACGUCCCUGCCCUUUAUACACACCGCCCGUCGCACCUACCGAUUGAAUGGUCCGGUGAAGCCUCGGGAUUGUGGUCAGUUUGCUUUAUUGCGAGUUGAUUGCGAGAACUUGUCUAAACCUUAUCAUUUAGAGGAAGGUGAAGUC